UACGUAGGGCGCAAGCGUUGUCCGGAAUCAUUGGGCGUAAAGAGCUCGUAGGCGGUUUGUCGCGUCUGCCGUGAAAGUCCGGGGCUCAACUCCGGAUCUGCGGUGGGUACGGGCAGACUAGAGUGAUGUAGGGGGAGACUGGAAUUCCUGGUGUAGCGGUGGAAUGCGCAGAUAUCAGGAGGAACACCGAUGGCGAAGGCAGAUCUCUGGGCCGUAACUGACGCUGAGGAGCGAAAGCAUGGGGAGCGAACAGG
rnacentral:rRNA from 1 species